GACGAACGCUGGCGGCGUGCUUAACACAUGCAAGUCGAACGGAAAGGCCCUGUUUGUGUUGCGUGCUCGAGUAGCGAGCGGGUGAGUAACACGUGAGUAACCUGCCCCUGCCUUUGGGAUAACUUCAGGAAACUGGGGUUAAUACCGGAUAGGAGUUCCUGCUGCAUGGUGGGGGUAGGAAAGUGUCGGCGGUUGGGGAUGGACUCGCGGUUUACCAGCUUGUUGGGGGGGUGGUUGCUUACCAAGGCUUUGCCGGGCGGCCGGCCUGAGGGGGUGACCGGCCACAUUGGACCUGGGAUACGGCCCGGCCUCCUACGGGGGGCAGCAGUGGGAAUUUUGCAACAAUGGGCGGAGGCCUGAUGAGGCAAGGCCGCGGGGGGAAGGACGGCUUUGGGGUGGUAACCCCUUUUCGCAGGUGACGAGCCGGGAGUGACGGUACUUGGUGAAGAAGCACCGGCUAACUACGUG
rnacentral:rRNA from 1 species